rnacentral:rRNA from 1 species
GUGGGGAAUAUUGGGCAAUGGAUGCAAGUCUGACCCAGCCAUCCCGCGUGCCGGAAGAAGGCCCUCAGGGUUGUAAACGGCUUUUGACGGUGAAGAAUCGACAGGAUGCGUCCUGUUUUGACGGUAGCCGUUGAAUAAGCACCGGCUAACUCCGUGCCAGCAGCCGCGGUAAUACGGAGGGUGCGAGCGUUGUCCGGAUUUAUUGGGUUUAAAGGGUGCGUAGGCUGGAAGGUCAGUCAGCGGUGAAAAGCUAUCGCUUAACGAUAGUCUUGCCGCAGAUACUUCCUUUCUUGGAUGAGGAGGAGGCCACUGGAACGGAUGGUGUAGCGGUGAAAUGCAUAUAUAUCAUCCAGAACACCGAUUGCGAAGGCAGGUGGCUGUACCUUAAUCGACGCUGAUGCACGAAAGCAUGGGGAGCAAACAGGAUUAGAAACCCCGGUAGUCC